CGGGCUUCGUUCCAGCUUUUCCAUUAUUAAUAGUGUCCUGACAGAUGCGAACCCAAGGUCGAGAAGAAGAACACAUGACGUGUUCGCAGAAAGUGGACUUGCCACUGCCCGGUGCACCCACCAAGAUCACCACGAUUGGCUUUGUCUCCUCCUCUCCACUUUUCUCUGUAAGAAAAUCCAUAAUAUCUAUAAGAAGGCAAAUUCAAAAACCUAAAGAAAAAGAUUGAAUUCCA
rnacentral:misc_RNA from 1 species